AUUGAACGCUGGCGGAAUGCUUUACACAUGCAAGUCGAACGGCAGCACGGGUGCUUGCACCUGGUGGCGAGUGGCGAACGGGUGAGUAAUACAUCGGAACGUACCCAGUCGUGGGGGAUAACGUAGCGAAAGUUACGCUAAUACCGCAUACGUCCUGAUGGAGAAAGCGGGGACCGGAAGGCCUAGCGCGCUUGGAGCGGCCGGGGGCGGAUUAGCUAGUUGGUGGGGUAAAGGCCUACCAAGGCGACGAUCCGUAGCGGGUCUGAGAGGAGGGCCCGCCACACUGGAACGGAGACACGGUCCAGACUCCUACGGGAGGCAGCAGUGGGGAAUUUUGGACAAUGGGCGAAAGCCUGAUCCAGCCAUUCCGCGUGAGUGAAGAAGGCCUUCGGGUUGUAAAGCUCUUUCGGCAGGGGAGAAACGGCUUGGGAUAAUACCCCGGGCUAAUGACGGUACCUGACGAAGAAGCACCGGCUAACUACGUGCCAGCCGCCGCCGUAA
rnacentral:rRNA from 1 species